CSCARCGACGCCGCKYGAGUGAUGAAGGCUUUCCGGGUCGUAAARMUCUGUCAAGUGGGARGAACCUGCAGUAUGCSAAUACCAUAUAGCACUGACGGUACCACUGAAGGRAGCACCGGCUAACUCCGUGCCAGCAGCCGCGGUAAUACGGGGGGUGCAAGCGUUAUUCGGAAUCAUUGGGCGUAAAGAGCACGUAGGCGGCCUGGUAAGUCAGAUGUGAAVGCCVGGGGCUUAACCCCGGAAGUGCAUUUGAUACUGCCAGGCUUGAGUAUGGGAGAGGGAAGUGGAAUUCCUGGUGUAGAGGUGAAAUUCGUAGAUAUCAGGAGGAACACCGGUGGCGAAGGCGACUUCCUGGACCAAYACUGACGCUARRUGCGAAGGCGUGGGUAGCAACAGGA
rnacentral:rRNA from 1 species